UUUGAUCCUGGCUCAGGAUGAACGCUGGCGGUAUGCUUAACACAUGCAAGUCGAACGGGAUGCUUAGGCAUCUAGUGGCGGACGGGUGAGUAACGCGUGAGAAUCUGGCUCCAGGUCGGGGAUAACAGUUGGAAACGACUGCUAAUACCGGAUGUGCCGAGAGGUGAAAGAUUUAUUGCCUGGAGAUGAGCUCGCGUCUGAUUAGCUAGUUGGUGGUGUAAGGGACCACCAAGGCGUCGAUCAGUAGCUGGUCUGAGAGGAUGAUCAGCCACACUGGGACUGAGACACGGCCCAGACUCCUACGGGAGGCAGCAGUGGGGAAUUUUCCGCAAUGGGCGAAAGCCUGACGGAGCAAUACCGCGUGAGGGAGGAAGGCUCUUGGGUCGUAAACCUCUUUUCUCAAGGAAGAAGAAAGUGACGGUACUUGAGGAAUAAGCAUCGGCUAACUCCGUGCCAGCAGCCGCGGUAAUACGGAGGAUGCAAGCGUUAUCCGGAAUGAUUGGGCGUAAAGGGUCUGCAGGUGGAACUGAAAGUCUGCUGUUAAAGAGUUUGGCUUAACCAAAUAAAAGCGGUGGAAACUACAGAACUAGAGUGCGGUAGGGGCAAAAGGAAUUCCUGGUGUAGCGGUGAAAUGCGUAGAUAUCAGGAAGAACACCGGUGGCGAAAGCGUUUUGCUAGACCGUAACUGACACUGAGGGACGAAAGCUAGGGGAGCGAAUGGGAUUAGAUACCCCAGUAGUCCUAGCCGUAAACGAUGGAUACUAGGCGUGGCUUGUAUCGACCCGAGCCGUGCCGGAGCUAACGCGUUAAGUAUCCCGCCUGGGGAGUACGCACGCAAGUGUGAAACUCAAAGGAAUUGACGGGGGCCCGCACAAGCGGUGGAGUAUGUGGUUUAAUUCGAUGCAACGCGAAGAACCUUACCAAGACUUGACAUCCUGCGAAUCCCGGUGAAAGCUGGGAGUGCCUUAGGGAGCGCAGAGACAGGUGGUGCAUGGCUGUCGUCAGCUCGUGUCGUGAGAUGUUGGGUUAAGUCCCGCAACGAGCGCAACCCUCGUUUUUAGUUGCCAGCAUUAAGUUGGGCACUCUAGAGAGACUGCCGGUGACAAACCGGAGGAAGGUGAGGAUGACGUCAAGUCAGCAUGCCCCUUACGUCUUGGGCUACACACGUACUACAAUGCUACGGACAGAGGGCAGCGAGCCAGGGAUGGCAAGCGAAUCCAGAAACCGUAGCUCAGUUCAGAUCGAAGGCUGCAACUCGCCUUCGUGAAGGAGGAAUCGCUAGUAAUUGCAGGUCAGCAUACUGCAGUGAAUUCGUUCCCGGGCCUUGUACACACCGCCCGUCACACCAUGGAAGUUGGUCACGCCCGAAGUCAUUACCCCAACCGAAAGGAGGGGGAUGCCUAAGGUAGGACU
rnacentral:rRNA from 1 species